AUGGGGUUGGGAGCACAAGCGGAGGUGCUGGACCCGUCUCUUUGCAUAGCGGCGCUAAUCUGCUGGUCCUUGAAGGUGUUGCAUAAAAAUGAGGUGGUGAAUGAGGAGCUCUGGAACGAAGCACGGACAUAUGGAGACAUCCAAUUGAUGCCAUUUGUUGAUUAUUACAGCUUGAUUCUUUGGAAGACCAUCUACUUUUCGAUAAACGUGCUUUCAGCCAAGUAUGUUAUGAAAACCGAUGAUGAUGCUUUUGUUCGUGUAGAUGAGAUACUUUUGUCCCUACAUCAAUCGGCGGACGAGGAUGUGGAGACGAGGAACCCGAGGACGGUGGUGGCGGUCAUCCUCGGCGGCGGCGCCGGGACCAGGCUCUUCCCUCUCACCAAGCGCAGGGCCAAGCCGACCGUGCCGAUAGGCGGCGCGUACAGGCUCAUCGACGUGCCCAUGAGCAAAUGCAUCAACAGCGGGAUCAACAAGGUGUACGUCCUCAUCCAGUUCAACUCCGCCUCCCUCAACCGCCACCUCUCCAGGGCCUACAAAUUCAGCAAUGGCGUCGGCUUCGGAGACGGUUUCGUCGAGGUUCUAGCAGCAACUCAGAGGCCUGGGAUCGGAGGGACAGAGGUGGUUUCAGGGUACCGCCGACGUGGUUCGGCAAUUCGCUUGGCUUUUCAAUGAUGCCAAAUCUAAAGACAUAGAAGAUGUGCUUAUUCUUUCGGGAGAUCACCUCUACCGUAUGGACUACAUGGACUGUGUUCAGAGUCAUCGACAGAGAGACGCAGGCAUCAGCAUAUGUUGCUUGCCAAUUAAUGACAGUCGGGCGUCUGAUUUUGGUCUAAUGAAGAUAGACGACACAGGAAGAGUUCUUUCAUUUAGUGAAAAAAACGAGAGGAGCUGACUUGUAAGCAAUGCAAGUUGACACCACUCUCCUCGGCUUAACGAAGGAGGAAGCAGAAAAGAAACCAUACAUAGCUUCAAUGGGGGUAUACAUAUUCAAGAAAGAGAUACUUCUAAAUCUUUUGAGAUGGCGUUUUCCCUCUGCAAAUGAUUUUGGCUCUGAAAUAAUUCCUGCUGCAGCAAGAGAGAUUAAUGUAAAGGCUAUUUGGAAUGGUUGCAGGUUUUAAUCAAGAGGUCCUCAAUAGGUAGACUGUCUCAAAAUGGAGAAGCAUGCUGGUAGCUUUUCGGUUGGAUGUCAAUGUUUGAAUGUAUGUCCAAUUACGGGUUCUCUCCGGUUGGUGAUCGAAUAGAUUUCUUUCUGAGUCUUAUGUCCAAAUACUUUUGAGUCCAUACACCAAAUAUGAAAUUAAAUAAUUAUUAUAAAAAUAAAAAUAAAUGGCAAUAAAAAUUAAAACAAUAAAUGUUAUCAAAUAUUUAUAUAUCCAGCUGGCACAAGAGAGGUAGGAGUAGCACGUUCUAGAAGAUGUGUUUUGAUGUAGUAGUUUAUAAAUGUAAUAGUGUGCCACCCAAUUGCAUAUUGGAGUGAAGUUUCUCUAACAUCUUGGAACAUUUUUUUAAAGGAAAAAAUCAUCAAUGUGUUGUUUUUAA